CCUACGGGAGGCAGCAGUGAGGAAUAUUGGUCAAUGGCCGGAAGGCUGAACCAGCCAUGCCGCGUGAAGGUCAGUGCCCUAUGGGCGUUAAACUUCUUUUGUGCGGGAGCAAUAAUGGUCACGUGUGGCCAGACGAGAGUACCGUACGAAUAAGCAUCGGCUAACUCCGUGCCAGCAGCCGCGGUAAUACGGGGGAUGCAAGCGUUAUCCGGGUUUAUUGGGUUUAAAGGGUGCGUAGGCUGGGAGGUAAGUCAGCGGGGAAAUGCCCCCGGUCAACGGGGUGAAGGGCCAUUGAUACUGGCUGGCUGGAAUGCGGAUGCAGUGGGAGGAAUGUGUGGUGUAGCGGUGAAAUGCAUAGAUAUCACACAGAACACCGAUUGCGAAGGCAUCUCACGAAUCCGCGAUUGACGCUGAUGCACGAAAGCGUGGGUAUCGAACAGGAUUAGAUACCCGGGUAGUC
rnacentral:rRNA from 1 species